GACGAACGCUGGCGGCGUGCUUAACACAUGCAAGUCGAACGGAAAGGCCCUGCUUUUGUGGGGUGCUCGAGUGGCGAACGGGUGAGUAACACGUGAGUAACCUGCCCUUGACUUUGGGAUAACUUCAGGAAACUGGGGCUAAUACCGGAUAGGAGCUCCUGCUGCAUGGUGGGGGUUGGAAAGUUUCGGCGGUUGGGGAUGGACUCGCGGCUUAUCAGCUUGUUGGUGGGGUAGUGGCUUACCAAGGCUUUGACGGGUAGCCGGCCUGAGAGGGUGACCGGCCACAUUGGGACUGAGAUACGGCCCAGACUCCUACGGGAGGCAGCAGUGGGGAAUAUUGCACAAUGGGCGGAAGCCUGAUGCAGCAACGCCGCGUGCGGGAUGACGGCCUUCGGGUUGUAAACCGCUUUCGCCUGUGACGAAGCGUGAGUGAGGGUAAUGGGUAAAGAAGCACCGGCUAGCUACGUG
rnacentral:rRNA from 1 species